GCCAGCAUGACAUAGUGGUCUGAGUGUUGGACUACAACUCAGGUGACCAGGGUUUGAAUCCCAGCUUGGCC